GCUCAGCAACAUUCCAGUUCCAGCAAGAGGUUCUGUAAACCUGAGCUUGAUCAGCGUAGAGUUUUGAAGAAUGGGACUCCAGCUACCCGAGGAACGGAAGGUUCGUGAUCUCCGAACAACGUGAAGUGGUAAAGCUUCGAAAUCCAGGUAAGGGACUCGGGACUCUCUAUUGGCUAGUGGUUUUCCAUAUUUGUUUAUAUACGUGAUGCAUGAUGAAAAUAUAUUGUUAGUUCAAAUUUAACAUGUUUUUAAGUUGACGUGCGUAUAAGAUUUU
rnacentral:lncRNA from 1 species